UAACUGUUAUGGUUACAAUAAUACAUUCUACAGAUGCAUGUGAAACCUUAAGCUGUGUUGUAAAGAUGGUAGUGUACGAUCAGCUUCUAUAAUUGCUGUCCCUCUAAUGGGCUUUGGAAUUGGAAGACUCCAUUGCCUUUGACCUAAAAUAUGCAUUUUCCGCAUUACUCAACCGGUUUUGGAACAUGGUCCACUCACCCCUGCACCUGUCCCUCACCCCUUUCCAAGGUGCCUUCCCAUUUUCUGACUGACCCUGGUUUCCAAGAGAGGGAACAGUUUGAUGAACAAUCCAUUGAGAAUCUACGACUCCUAUCUUCUCAUGGGCAGGCUCUACACAUUUUCUGAGAGCAAAGUCAAGACCCCAUCCAUGGACCAAGUCAUUCUGAAUCAUAUGCCACACACAGCGCCAUGCAUUUCGUGAAAAGACUGGAGCCAUG
rnacentral:misc_RNA from 1 species